GAUGAACGCUGGCGGCGUGCUUAACACAUGCAAGUCGAACGGGAAUUACUUUAUUGAAACUUCGGUCGAUUUAAUUUAAUUCUAGUGGCGGACGGGUGAGUAACGCGUGGGUAACCUGCCUUAUACAGGGGGAUAACAGUCAGAAAUGGCUGCUAAUACCGCAUAAGCGCACAGAGCUGCAUGGCUCGGUGUGAAAAACUCCGGUGGUAUAAGAUGGACCCGCGUUGGAUUAGCUUGUUGGUGGGGUAACGGCCCACCAAGGCGACGAUCCAUAGCCGGCCUGAGAGGGUGAACGGCCACAUUGGGACUGAGACACGGCCCAGACUCCUACGGGAGGCAGCAGUGGGGAAUAUUGCACAAUAGGGGAAACCCUGAUGCAGCGACGCCGCGUGAAGGAAGAAGUAUCUCGGUAUGUAAACUUCUAUCAGCAGGGAAGAUAGUGACGGUACCUGACUAAGAAGCCCCGGCUAACUACGUG
rnacentral:rRNA from 1 species